rnacentral:lncRNA from 1 species
ACACCAUGUGGGUCUCUUCCAUCAUCUAACCUUCAAGAACCUAGAGCAAAAACACCAAAGCCAAGUGAGCAAUAGUAAACACAAAUCAAACAUGAAGACCUUCAUCAUAUUUGUCCUCCUUGCUAUGGUGAUGAGCAUCGCCAGUGCCACUAGGCAACUAAGCCCUAGAGGCAAGGAGUUGCAAACACCACAAGAACAAUUCCCCCAACAGCAAUUCCCUCAACCACAACAAAUCCUCCAACAACAAUUCCCCCAACAACAACAAAUCCCCCAGCAACCGCAACAAUUCCCCCAACAGCAAAUCCCACAACAGCAAAUCCCGCAACAACAAUUCCCCCAACCACNNNNNNNNNNNNNNNNNNNNNNNNNNNNNNNNNNNNNNNNNNNNNNNNNNNNNNNNNNNNNNNNNNNNNNNNNNNNNNNNNNNNNNNNNNNNNNNNNNNNNNNNNNNNNNNNNNNNNNNNNNNNNNNNNNNNNNNNNNNNNNNNNNNNNNNNNNNNNNNNNNNNNNNNNNNNNNNNNNNNNNNNNNNNNNNNNNNNNNNNNNNNNNNNNNNNNNNNNNNNNNNNNNNNNNNNNNNNNNNNNNNNNNNNNNNNNNNNNNNNNNNNNNNNNNNNNNNNNNNNNNNNNNNNNNNNNNNNNNNNNNNNNNNNNNNNNNNNNNNNNNNNNNNNNNNNNNNNNNNNNNNNNNNNNNNNNNNNNNNNNNNNNNNNNNNNNNNNNNNNNNNNNNNNNNNNNNNNNNNNNNNNNNNNNNNNNNNNNNNNNNNNNNNNNNNNNNNNNNNNNNNNNNNNNNNNNNNNNNNNNNNNNNNNNNNNNNNNNNNNNNNNNNNNNNNNNNNNNNNNNNNNNNNNNNNNNNNNNNNNNNNNNNNNNNNNNNNNNNNNNNNNNNNNNNNNNNNNNNNNNNNNNNNNNNNNNNNNNNNNNNNNNNNNNNNNNNNNNNNNNNNNNNNNNNNNNNNNNAACAACAAUUCCCCCAACAACAAUUCCCCCAGCAACCACAACAACAAUUCCCCCAACAACAAUUUCCCAUACCAUACCCACCCCAACAACAAUCACAAGAAGCUUCCCCAUACCAACAAUACCACAACAACACCUAUCUGGGAACGACGUUAUAAGUAUCAGUGGCCGAUGAAAUAAAGAGAUGUACUACUAGACAGGUGAAUCAUCGUUGUUAGUCAAUGGAGCAUAAUGUAACGGGUAUAAAUAAAAUGAUGUGCACCAUCAUGUGUAACCCCGACAUGUACUAGUUCAAACAUGGGAAUAAAAGACAAAUAAGUUCUUUUCUGAAGCACAUUGCUGGCAAUCGUUAUAUUCAUGCCAUAUUUCGAUUUCCAUCGGUAACUCCAAUCUCAAUGUUAUGGUCUAUCUACUUAUUUAUGAAGUGUAGUAUUAUGAACAUAACAUAAUUAACAUGUCUGAAAAUUGGCUCAAAUUGAAGUACUACUAAUUCAAGAGUAAGGAGUAAUUACAAUUUAACAUUUCAAUGGAGAGCUCUAAUUGUAGACUGCGUUGUUAAUUCCCCGAAGAGGAAAGGAUGAUGUAGUAUAGUAGAGAUAAGUGUUUCCCUCAGCUAAGAACCAAGGUUAUCAAUCCAGUAGGAGAACCGCACAAAACCUCGUUAGCAGCACCUGCACACACAAAAGCAAACACUUGCACCGAACGCAAAUAAGAGGGUUGUCAAUCCUCUUAGCGAUUAUUUGCAAGGAUUAGUUCUGACAGUGAUACAUAGAUAAAAUAAAUUACUAAAUAAAAUAAAAAUAAAUAAAUUGCAGCAAUGUAUUUUUGUGCUUUUAUAUAUGAUAAAAGUAGACCCGGGGGGGGCAUAGUUUUCACUAGAGGAUUCUCUCUUGAUCAUAAAACAUAUGGUGGGUAAACACAUUACUGUUGGGCAAGCUAUUAUAUACUAAAAGGAAAAUACUGGUCCAAAAUAGAGAAUAGGCUAGAAAAUCUGGCGUUAAUUAGAAAAUAUGAACCCUUGAUCCGUUUAAUUUUAAAAAUUAUAAAUCUAUGACCGUUCAAUAUACGUAACAAGGUCGGGCGUGGAUAACUUCCCGCGUAACGUGACACAUGUAAGAAACACAAACAUGAGUCCAGUUAAGGCAAACACGUAGAUGUGUUGAAGUGGGAAUGAAUAGAAUUGCUACGUCCGAAUAUGCAAGAGAUAGAAAAGAUGAAGAAAACUAAAGAACAUGUCGUGUUCAGAUUGGACUAAACGUAUGUGCGUAUACAACCACAACCACAAUCCGAAAGAUCCAGCCAUUAAUCCCGUGGGUCCAUCCAAAACAAAAGGUGGAUAUCCAUCUAAUUGCCCCACGUCCAUGGAACAUACUUAUUAGAGUCCACAAACAGUAGCCGCUGGUCUCUUUUACGUGAUCCUCCUUGCACUGUUAGGACUUUGCCGUCGGACAUCCUUAAGUUCUUGUGAAGUUCACAUCUAAAAAUACUAUCAUAGUAAAAAAAUCCAUUUCAUACUCCAAGAAAGAUAUCACCAUCCCAAAGUUUCAAUUGCAAUCUAAGUUUUGCCACAACUGGGUAUUUAAAACUUAUUUUACCACAGCUCGGCAAUUUCAGCCACUAAGGUUUUUGUGGCAGAUGAAGCAUCUUCCCAUUGGAAACUCCCAACUGUAAAAAGACUAGCAAAUUAGCAAUCAUUGGCAAAUCAGCAAUCUUAUAGCGGCAGCAGCUCCCAUCAAUCAGGUAACUCAUCUUCCAAAAAUCAGAGACAAUAAGCAACCAUACACAUCAUGCACAUAUGAUAUUAACAUAAUUACAUAUGUGAUUUCUGUGUUGAAUUUCGUACAACAUUACCAUGAAGAGAAGCGCAUCCACAUGGCAAGUAAUUUCCAAAAGCCGCCAAAAAGGUGAAAAGCAAUCAAAUAUGCAAUCCAACAAGUUAAUUAUUAAGCUAUAGACCAUGCAUGUUUCAGUGGUGCAUACAAGAUCAGUAGAACAAAUUCCUAGCCGUUACGACAUUCAUCAGGGAGGCGAGGACUAUGAAGCGACGGGUUGCGAGCUGGAGGGAAUGGCGGCGCACCCCGUGUCUCAGCCGAGAGAGGAGAGGCCGGGGAUAGAAUUAAGAGAGACACGAGUGAUGUCAGAUGAUAGGCUAGGGAUCGUUGGGCGUUCUCACAUAUUGCGUGGAGGAGGUUAGCUAAAUGGGCCAGCACAAAGGCCCAGUCAACCGCAGGUGGCAGAGUUUUCUCCCAGUGCAGCAGCCCUUUAGGACAGUUGAGCCAAGAAAUAUAGUUACAAAAUUAGGAAUUCAUCCAACAGUCAGAAAUGAUCUAUACAAGUGAUCUGAUAGUUACAAAUGUUGAAUGCUUGAGAGAGCUGGGAUAAGGCUAAGUUUUACUGUCCUAAAUGUAUUAGAUAUGUAGAAUCUGACAGUUAUUAAAGUUUAAUUGUCCUUCAGAAAAAACUAUGGCUAAUCACCACUACGCUAAUUACUUUUUACAAUUGUUGUACAUGAAUGGGGGUUAGGCAAGCGUAACACUGCUGAUGAGGGUCCCAAACCCGAUAAAGGUGGAGGGUGCAUAAUCAAAUUAACAUCUAACACUAACAUGCAAUACCUUUUAAGUUCAUAUAUUGAUUCAAUCGCAAAAGGGAAAAAUGAAACAAAAGUAGGCAGCGGGACCUGGAAGUCAACAGAGGAAACAGAAGGGUAUGCUCAUCGUGUGGAAUCGUUUGUGGGGGGCGAGCUGAGUAAACAGAGGAAGGUGAUCGAACGACGUCUCAGGUUUAUUUGUUUACUGAACAGACAGACAUGUGUAAGUUUUUUUUCCCUUUGAGGGGAAAGACGUGUGUAACUAGGGAGGGAUGAUUUUGCACGUUCUGUAUUUUUUUCCACCAGAAAACAGAUACUACUUUAACAAAUAAAUCCUACACUAAAUAUUUUAUAUGCUGCAAAUUAUAGGCCACAUACGCAUGAGCCUAAAUUAUAGGCGACUAUUUCAUAGGGUGAAAGUAAACAAAAUAGAAAAUCUUAUAGGCGACAUGAGCAUGAACCUAAAUUAUAUAUUUUAUAUGCUGCAAAUUAUUUUAAAAACAUGUGAAAAUAUAGUGCAUGAUCAUCAGACCAAAAACUCUAGCCUGUACAAAACACUCAUAUUUAGACGUAUAUUUCAUAUGGAGCUGCCAAUUCAUAUCAAUCCGGCACUACAACAGUAACACUAUCGUGCAGCCGCUUAAGUCAAAUCUAAAGUUAAAGCUAAUCAACACAAAAUAUCCAAUGUAAAAGGAAUUACUUAUACUAAAAAUAUAAAAUAUACCUAAGAGUGCGAAAGAUGACGAAUAUUUACUAUAAGAGUGCUAGCCCUCGCAUUUGCGAGGGCCACCUUGCUAGUUGAUAAAAAACAAAUAAUUAUGAUGGAUUCAUGGCAAUGAUCAUGUAUAUAGGCAUCACGUUCGAGACAAGUAGACCGACUCCCGUCUGCAUCUACUACUAUUACUCCACCCAUCGACCGCUAUCCAGCAUGCAUCCAGAGUAUUAGGUAUAAAACAGAGUGACGCCUUAAGUACGAUGACAUGAUAUAGAUAAAGUAAAUUCAAGAAAUAUGAUUAAACCCCAUCUUUUUAUCCUUAAUUGUCAGCCCAUUGGCUGUUAUUUUCCCCGAUCUGACCAUCCGUGACGCUCCUGUUGUUCGCAACGCUACCGCUACGACUGCGGGAGCAUGUCAUUUUCGUUAUACAUGUAACCCAAAAAUAUCUCUAACAUUAAUGACAACAAUACAAAUACGUGUUAUGUCCCUUUUUGUCACUGGGAUUGAGCAAUGCAAGAUUGAAUCCAUCACAAAGCACCUCUCCCCAUUGCAAGAUAAACCAAUCUAGUUGGCCAAACCAAAUCGAUAGAUCAGGGAGAAAUAUAAAGCUAAAAUAAUCACGCAUAAAAGAGCUCAGAGAAGACUCAAAUAUUUCUCAUGAAUCAUAUGAUCAUAAACUCACGAUUCAUUGGAUCCCAACAAACACACCGGAAAAGAAGAUUACAUCGGAUAGAAAUCCAAGAACAUCGGGGAUAACUUUGUAUUGAAUAUCAAAGAGAGAGAAGAAGCCAUUUAGCUACUGGCUAUGGACCCAUAGGUGUGUGGUAAAAUACUCACACAUCAUCGGAAGGGCAGCAUGGUUUAUGUGGAAGCCCUUCGUGAUCGAUUCCCCCUCCGGCAGAGUACUGGAAAAGGCCUCCCGACGGGAUCGCGGAAAAACAGAGGCUUGCGGCGGAGAAAAAGUUUUCUCAUCUAUCUCUCUGGUGGUUAUGGAAUAUUUGUGAUUUAUAGUGGAAGAAUUAGGUCAGGAGGUGCCACGAGGGGGCCAUAAGCCUAGGGGCGCGGUGAUACGUCCAUUUUGCAUCAUGUUUUAUUACAGUUAUUUAUUAAGUUUUGAGCUAAUAUAACACUUCAUGGAGUAUUUCUAAUGCAUUUUCUCUCUUAAUAUGCAAGGUUUACACAAAGAGGGAGAAUACCGGCAGCUGGAUUUCAGGGCCUGAAAAAGCUACAUCAGAGAUCCCUAUUCUGCACAUCUCCAAAUGGGCUGAAAAUUCACGAAGAUUUAUUUUAGAAUAUAAAAAAAUACUGGGCCAAAGAUCCACGGGAGGAGGCCACCCAGGUGCCCACACAGCAAUAGGGCGCGCCCCACCCCUAGGGCGCGCCCUGAUGCUGUAUGAGGCCCCUGGCCCAAUUCAGGCCCCCUCCUUCUGGUAUAUAAGUCAUUUUACCAUAAAAUAUUUAUGGGGAGACUUUCAGGACGAGGCGCCGCUGCCACGAGGCGGAACUAGAGCAGGAGAAAUUUGGCUCUCCGGCGUGCAGAUUCCGCCGGGGAUACUUCCCUCCGGGUGGUGGAAAUCGAAGCUUACGUCAUCACUAACAACCCUCUCAUCGUGGGAGGACCAAUCUUCAUCAUCAUAAACCACAACACCAUCUCAUCUCUAUCCCUAGUUCAUAUCUUGUAUUCGAUCUCUGUGUCAAAACAUUAGAUUGGUACUUGUGUUUGACUAGUAGUGUUGAUUACUUAUCGUAGUUGAUGCUAGUGGAUUUGUUUGGUGAAUUACCAAAUGUUCUGAUCGUGCAUCCAAAUUAUAUUCUCUCUGAUCAUGAACAUGAUGAUGAUGUGUGAGUAGUUACUUUUAUUCUUGAGGACAUGGGAGAAGUCUUGUCAUUAGUAAUCAUGUGAUUCCGGUAUUCGUUCAAUAUUUUGAUGAUAUGUAUGUUGUGAUUCUCUUAGUGGUGUCAUAUGAACGUCGACUACAUGACACUUCACCAUUGAUGGGCCUAAGGGAACUCAUUGUGGAGUAGUAAUUAGAUGAUGGGUUGCUAGAGUGACAGAAGCUUAAACCCCAGUUUAUGCACUAUUCCGUAAGGGGCUGAUUUGGAUCCACUAGUUUAAUGCUAUGGUUAGACUUUGUCUUAAUUCUUUUUUCUUAGUUGCGGAUGUCGGUGUCAAAACCGACAGAUCUCGGGUAGGGGGUCCCAAGCUGUGGGUCUAGGAUCAAUAGGUAACAGUGACGAUGAACACGGUGUUUUACCCAGGUUCGGGCCCUCUGGAUGGAGGUAAAACCCUAUGUCCUGCUCUUGUUUGUAUUGAUGAAGUAUCAAGGUACAGAGUUGAUCUACCUCGAGAUCAUAUGUUCUGGUCUAAACCCUAGGGGUAUGAUCAGUAAUGUCAUAAUGAUGAUAAUAAUCUAUCGACUAGCCUGGCCUCGGCUUAUAUAAUGUACCAGAGGCCUAGGAUAACAAGACACCUAGUUAGCUAUGUUGGUGGAGAGGAGUCCUUGUCUUGGUCACCAAGUCUUGUGGAAUCUUUCCUGUAUAUGUCAUCGGUUGUCCGAACUGGCCCAUUAGUGAGGUCCUCGGUCCGACCCACUGGUCGGGAGACAACGUGGUGAGUACCCCCUAGUCCAGGACACCGUCAGCGGAUGCUUGCGAGAGGGGGUAAUCAUAAGUGGGAGGCUUGUUCAAGUAAGAACAGCACCCAAGCACCGGUCCACCCACAUAUCAAAUCAUCAAAGUAGCGAAAGCGAAUCGAAUGAACAUGAUGAAAGUGACUAGAUGAAAUUCCCGUGUGUCCUCAAGAACGCUUUUCUCAUUAUAAGUACUAGUUCUGGCCUGUCCUUUGCACUAAAAAGGAUUGGGAUAUCUUGCUGCACUUUAUUUACAUUUGUCACUUGCUACUCGUUACCAAUUAUCUUGCUAUCAGACUACUCGCUACCGCUUGUUUCAGUGUUUGCAAAAAUAUCGUUAUUGAAAACCGCAAGUCAUUUCCUUUUUCUUCUCGUUGGGUUCGACACUCUUACUUAUCGAAAGGACUAUGAUUGAUCCCCUAUACUUGUGGGUCAUCACGCGGCCACCCACCUGGGGCGCUCCGUCCCUAGCUUAUCACUCCCUCGAGACUCCUCGGGUCUUCCCCGAAGCUUCCAGGGUCUCUUUUGGUCCAGAAAACUUAAUCCAAUGUUUUUCUGUGUUUGUACCUUUUUUAUAAUGAUAUUAUAAAAUGAUAAAAACAAGCAAAAAAUAACAACUGGCACUAGGCACUACGUUAAUAGGUUAGUCCCAAAAAAUGAUACAAAAAUAGCAAAAAGUUGCAUAUAAAACAUCCAAGAAUGAUAAUAUAAUGGCACGAAACAAUAAAACAUUACAGAUAGGAGGCGUAUCAAGCAUCCCCAAGCUUAUUUCUUGCUCGUCCUCGAGUAGGUAAAUGAUAAAAACAAAAUUUUUGAUGUGGAAUGCUACCUAACAUGUUUCAUCAUGUAAUCUCUCUUACGGUAUGAAUAAUAAGAUCCGAAUGAUUCAAAGCAAUAGUCUAUAAUUUGAUAUAAAGACAUCAAUACUCAGGCAUACUAACAAACAAUCAUGCCUUUCAAAAUAACGAUGCUAACCCAAGUUAUCCCUACAAAAUCAUAUAAUCCUAUCAUGCUCCAUCUUCUUAACACAAAGUAUUUAUGAUGCACUACCCCAAUGACAAUCCAGGCAAUUGGUUCAUACUUCUUAACGUGCUUCAGCUUCAACCCCCGCGCAAUACAUGAUGGCAAGCCAAGGACAUAACACUAUGGAUGGAAUAGAACAUGAUGAUAGAGAUCAAUAAGGGGAAAUCCAAAAUAAGAAGAUAGUCUCACAUCAAUGCGGCUAACAAACGGGCUAUAGAGAUGCCCAAAAAUUGAUGUCAAUGCAAGGAGUAGGGAUUCCCAUGCAACGGAUGCACUAAGAAGGCACCCAAGGUAAUAUCCAAGGAGACUCCAGCGUCGAAGCUUGGGGAUGCCCCGGAAGGCAUCCCCUCUUAAUUCUAAUGACUAUCAGUAACGCACUUGAGGCAACAUUUUUACUCAUCACAUGAUAUGAGUUUUUCUUGGAGCGUCUUGUAUGAUAUGAGUCUUUGCUUUGUUUAUUUUUAGUUUAUCACAAUCAUCACCUCUGAACGCAUUUGCUUGAGAUAGCUUCACGUCAUCAUGAUUUACUUGAAUUGCCCUUUGUGCUUCACUUAAAUUUGUUGAGCUAGGUGGUUGCUCUAGUGCUUCAUUUAUAUCUUUUUUAACACGGUGGUGCUUUUGUUUUGAAGAAACUUGUUCUCAUGCUUCACUUAUAUCUUUUUGAGAAUGCUAGAAAUUUUAUAAAAAUAUUAGUCUCAUGCUUCACUUAUAUCUUUUUGAGAGUUCGAAAUUAGUUAUGGUAAAAUGUACAAGCUAUAAGCUUGGUCUCCAUAUGAUGAAUAUUCAAGAAGGAUAAUGAUAACUAGUAUAAAAAAUUUAUGGGACAUGAAUAACUUGAUUCUUUGCAACAAUUUUGAGAUAUGUAGAUGAUAAUACGUGAGUUAUGUUCAUGAAUAAUUAUACUCUAGUAUGAAUAUUGAUGUUAAGGUUUAUGAUUCCCUAUGCAAGCACGUAAAGUCAAUAGUUAUGCAAUGAAGUUACAUCCUACUUGUGGUGCAUUAUUCGGUGUUGGUUAUGUUUUAUGUAUGCAUGUGCAUCAUUACAGUUUCUUAGUUGGUCGCUUCUCAACCAUUUUGCUAGCCUCCAUUCGUACUAAGCGGGAAUACUGCUUGUGCAUCCAUUACCUUAAACUUGUUUUGCCAAUUGUGUCCAUCAUACCUACAUAUAUACGGUAUUUCAUUGCCGUCCCAAGUAAAUUUGCAUGUGCCAUCUCUAAUAAUUUUCAAAAUAAACUUCUCUUUUGUGUGCCUGUGUUGCUCAUGAAGUGAUAAGGGGUGGACGAUGAAUUUCGUGUUGUAUAUGUCAUUUUCAUGAUGAGUGUUUAUUCACUUGUCAUUGCACGAGAGUGUGGCGGUAAUAAAAGGGAUGCCCAGUCCCAAAAAUAAAUUGAAUUUCCUGGAAUGUGUUGUUAUGGAGGGCACCCGUGAAUACGGCUAGACAUGGAUUGUGAAAGGAAAGGUGGAAAAACUAACUCCUUCGGAUGUGAAUGGAAAAAAGGGACAAAAGUCUCAAAACCAUGGAACGAUGACAGGGAGCAAACAAUUUCUUUUCAGUUUGGGAGCCGCCUUUGAUGUAUAUAACUUGGAUGGUAUCGAAAGCCUUGAGUCGUUGUCGUUGACGAGAAAAGCAGGCCUCCCAAAAUAAUUUUUUAUCUCUUUUUAAAACUUGAGGUCUGGCACCACUGUAAAUCAAUGCUUCCCUCUGCGAAGGUCGUUCUAUUUAUUUUUAUGUUGAGUCUCAUCCUUCUCAUUAAAAAACCAACUAGGGGGUCAUGUGAUCAUGUGUGCGCAUGGAGUAUGAUUGACAUUCGACUGUGUUUCAUAAAUGGAUCAAUGGUUGAGCAUAAUGGGCUAGGGAUAAUUUUCUUUAGCAUUGUUAUUUUGAAAGGCAUGGUUGCGUGUUAGCAUUGGAGGGGGUAUAUAUAGCCACCUCAUCGGUCCCGGUUUGUGGCUGGAACCGGGACUAAAGGCCACCCUUCUGUCCUGGUUCUAGGCACGAACCGGGACCAAUGGCUGUGGGCUAGGAACGAGGACCAUUGGUCCCAUUCGUGCCUAGAACCGGGACAAAUGGGUACACACGAACCGGGACAAAUGCCUGCCGAGGACCGGCCGGCCCCCUGGGCGCACGAACCGGGACGUAUGACCCCCAUGGGUCCCGGUUCGUGACUGAACCGGGACUAAUGGGCUGGCCAGGCCCCAACCAAAGCCCUGUUUUCUACUAGUGAGGGGCGACGCUCUGCGGAGUUCUCCCUCUUGGGGGCGUUGUCGUGGAGCUUAGGUGUGCUAGGUCGUAGCGUGAGCAUGUUUUGUUCUUCUGGUACUUGUUGCUGGUAGCAUAGAAGCAUGCGUUUUGCAUGUGCCGGAUAUCUCAGGAUCGACUUUGUAAGGGCUACCAAACCAUAUUGUAUCGUUUGACCAUGUACAGCUUUGGAUGUUGCUUUGUUUAUAAAGCAGGGCAAAAUCCUAUUUCGAGAAUAAAGAAAACAACAGCAACAGCAAACAGGUCAACAACUUCAGAAUAGUUUUUCUUUUAAAAUUUCACUUGCUUAAUUAACUACAUGCAUAGGACUUUCUACAGUGUUUUAGAGAAGGACAACUAUGAUUUGCUAGCUAGUUAGGUAUUUCAACAGAACAUUAACAGCAAGGAGAAGGAGAAGAACUGUUAACAACCAGGCAGGCAGGUGGAGAGUGAGUGUGUGAGAGUGAGGUCUCUCUGGCUUUUUCCUGUAUGGCUACUCCUACUUCCUUCGCUGACAAAGACCUGUUCUGAAUCCGUAAUACUGAUUCAUAGUAAUGAUGGUGGAUCGACUAUACCUUGACUUAUCCAUGUACAACAAAAAUUACUACGUACAUGAUUAAAAAUCCAAGGGUCAAAUCCUGAUCAAUUGAUCCAGCAAAUUCUUCAUGAAUCUAGCAUGACAUCAAGUGUGAUUAAUAGGAGUUUCAAUUAUAAUUAGCCUCCGAGAAGCUACAUGGAGGAGGAUGUAGUCGUGUUUUGUGGCCUUGUCAGAAACUUCGCUUUCCAUCAAUCUGAAAACAAGUGGUAGAGGGCAAAAGAAUGAAAAAAAACAUGUGUAGAGGAUACGCAACACAUAAAGGCCACACACACAAAAACAGCGGUAUGGUAGCUGGUCCAUGACAUUGACAAGUCAAUUGAUUUGCUGCAACCAUAUAUAUGUACGAAUAAUAUCGCCAAGGAUAAGAGAAGGAAAAAAUAUAAAUAUACCGAUAGGCUCUUAUUUAGUUCCUGGAUGCAUGUUGCAUGAGCCAAGUGUAUCGGCAGUAUGGCUUGUGUUUGCUGCAUGAUGGCGGCAGGUUCCCAUUCAGUUAGGCAUGCUAAGUCCUAAAUUCAUUUAUUCACGUAUCGGGUAGAAGGAGAACAAAUUUCAUUUCUUUUCUGUAGGUUCCUUGCUUAAAAGAAAAUAGAAAAUAUACACUUAUAUAAUUACGAGAAAAAAUCAACUGUAUGUCGCUCAGUCUUCCCUUUUUGUUCCGUAUCAGUAUCAACAAUCAUAGUACUAAUAGCUUUCUAUACUGGCGCUAGUAAAUUCAAUAAAAGAAACAUGGAGACUAUCUGAACAAUUUGAAACAAUAUAGACAAACUGAGAUCAACUAACAACAGAAAUCCAAAAGAAAUGUUCAUGUCUACGUGGAGUGAAUCGAUCAAGCCGUGCAAAGCCCUAACAAUUUGUUUUGUAUUAAUAACUCAUAUGAUAAUACAACUCCUCCAUAUGAAAAGGUAAUAUGAUGAUUCAUGAAUGCUUAUCCAUCUUAUAAAUAUAUUGUGCACAAAAUAUCGAGUUAGUUCAGAGAAAACGGUGUCUAGAACAAUCUUCACAUUAAUAGUGUGAUCUAUCUCAAUGACUCACACAAGAUUACAAAGUUUGUUCCCUUAAGUAUGCCAAUCUGGAUACGCCUAACAAUAUGUAGAACAUGACAAACUAAAUCAGAACAAGGGACAAAAUCUAGAUCAAUGUUUGAAGUGUAAAGUGAAUACGAUGAGUCAUUUGUCGUUAUCAAGCAUUCCAUACACCUAGAUGAUAUGUGCAAGAACAAUCAACUAUGACGAACAAUCCAAAAUCACGAUAGUAAGUAGUACCAUAAUACACAACAUACCAAAUUAUUGUAAAUGAUAAGCUUAAGAGCACUUUUUCAAGAAGCAAGUGUGAAGAUUACAAACUUAGUUCCCUUAAGUUAUGCCAAUCUGGAUACACCUAACAACAUGUAGAACAUCACAAACUAAAUCGAAAGACGGACAAAAUCUAGAUCAAUGUUUGAAGUGUAAAGUGAAUACGAUGAGUCAUUAGUCGUGAUCAAGCAUUCGAUACAGCCAGAUGAUAUUUGCAAGAACACAACAUACCAAAUUAUUAGGUCGAUAAUCUUAAGUGCACUUUUUCAAGAAAAGAGUGGGAAGAUGAAAACAAAAUAUGUCAUGCCUGCUAUAAAUACGACUACACCAUGUGGGUCUCUUCCAUCAUCUAACCUUCAAGCACCUAGAGUAAAAACACCAAAGCCAAGUGAGCAAUAGUAAACACAAAUCAAACAUGAAGACCUUCAUCAUAUUUGUCCUCCUUGCUAUGGUGAUGAGCAUCGCCAGUGCCACUAGGCAACUAAGCCCUAGAGGCAAGGAGUUGCAAACACCACAAGAACAAUUCCCCCAACAGCAAUUCCCUCAACCACAACAAAUCCUCCAACAACAAUUCCCCCAACGACAACAAAUCCCCCAGCAACCGCAACAAUUCCCCCAACAGCAAUUCCCGCAACAGCAAAUCCCACAACAGCAAAUCCCGCAACAACAAUUCCCCCAACCACANNN